rnacentral:rRNA from 1 species
AUGGCGCGACACCACCACCACCACUUCGUCUCCCACCUCCGAGCAUCCGCGCCGCUCGCCGACCUCCUCCGGUCCGCGCCAAGCCUGCCCGCCGCCCGCGCAGCGCACGCGCGCGCCCUCAAGUCGCCCUACGCGGACGAGACUUUCCUCCUCAACACCCUCGUCUCCGCCUACGCGCGACUCGGCCGCCUCCCCGACGCGCGCAGGGUGUUCGACGAGAUUCCCCGCCCCAACACCUUCUCCUACAACGCCCUCCUCUCCGCGCACGCCCGCCUUGGCAACCCCGCCGACGUCCGUGCUCUCUUCGGCGCCAUCCCCGACCCGGACCAGUGCUCCUACAACGCGGUCAUCGCCGCGCUCGCGCAGCACAGCCGUGGCGCCGACGCCCUCCUGUUCUUCGCCGCCAUGCACGCCGACGACUUCGUGCUCAAUGCCUACUCCUUUGCCAGCGCCCUGAGCGCCUGUGCCGUGGAGAAGGACCUGAGGGCCGGGGUGCAGGUGCAUGCCCUUGUUUCCAAGUCGCCGCAUGCCAAGGACGUGUAUAUUGGCAGUGCGCUCUUGGACAUGUAUGCCAAGUGCGAGGGGCCGGAGGAGGCACGGAGGGUGUUCGAGGCAAUGCCGGAGCGGAAUGUCGUUUCCUGGAACAGCUUGAUCACUUGCUAUGAGCAGAACGGCCCUGUGGGUGAGGCGCUGGUACUGUUUGUCAGGAUGAUGAAUGCCGGUCUUGUGCCCGAUGAGGUGACACUUGCAAGUGUCAUGAGUGCGUGUGCGGGCCUUGCUGCGGAUAGAGAAGGACGGCAGGUUCAUGCGUGCGUGGUGAAAUCCGAUAGGUUUAGGGAGGACAUGGUGCUGAGCAACGCUCUGGUGGACAUGUACGCCAAAUGUGGGAGGACAUGGGAGGCGAGGUGUGUGUUUGACCGCAUGGCUUCCAGGAGUGUUGUCUCUGAAACAUCACUCAUCACCGGGUACGCAAGGUCUGCUAAUGUGGAAGAUGCUCAGGUGGUGUUCUCACAGAUGGUCGAGAAGAAUGUCAUUGCUUGGAAUGUGCUCAUUGCAGCAUAUGCACAGAACGGUGAGGAGGAGGAGGCACUUAGGCUCUUUGUCAGGCUGAAAAGAGAGUCAGUUUGGCCAACACAUUACACAUACGGAAAUGUUCUCAAUGCAUGUGGCAAUGUUGCUGAUCUUCAGCUUGGUCAGCAAGCUCAUGUGCAUGUCCUGAAGGAAGGUUUUCGCUUUGACUUUGGACCAGAGUCUGAUGUGUUUGUUGGGAAUUCCCUUGUAGACAUGUACCUGAAGACAGGAUCAAUUGAUGAUGGUGUGAAGGUGUUUGAGAGGAUGGCAGCCAGAGAUACUGUGUCGUGGAAUGCCAUGAUUGUCGGUCAUGCACAGAACGGCCGUGCAAAAGAAGCACUGCAUCUUUUUGAGAGAAUGUUAUGCAGUAAAGAGAGCCCAGAUUCUGUCACCAUGAUUGGUGUUCUGUCUGCCUGUGGCCAUUCUGGAUUAGUGGAGGAGGGCCGGAGAUACUUUCGGUCCAUGACUGGGGAUCAUGGGAUAACUCCAUCCCAAGAUCACUACACAUGUAUGAUUGAUUUGCUUGGUCGUGCCGGUCAUCUAAAAGAAGUUGAGGAGCUCAUAAAGGAGAUGCCAAUGGAACCUGACAGCGUGCUCUGGGCUUCUCUGCUAGGUUCUUGCAGGCUACAUAAGAAUAUUGAGAUGGGAGAACUGGCAGCUGGGAAGUUGUUUGAGCUUGAUCCUGAGAACUCUGGACCCUACGUUCUUCUCUCGAAUAUGUACGCUGAGUUGGGGAAAUGGGCAGAUGUAUAUAGAGUGAGGAGAUCCAUGAAGAGCAGAGGUGUCAUUAAGCAGCCUGGCCGUAGUUGGAUUGAGAUAGGCAGGCAAGUGAGUGUGUUUCUCGCACGAGAUAACGGACAUCCCUGCAGGAAUGAGAUACACGAUACCUUGAGAAUCAUUCAGAUGCAGAUGAGUAGGGUGAGUGUAGAUGCUGAAAAUGCUGAUGGCCUGAUGAAUUACAGCUCUGAAGCCUGUGGCUAG